UACGGAGGGUGCUAGCGUUGUUCGGAAUUACUGGGCGUAAAGCGCGCGUAGGCGGACCUGCAAGUCGGGGGUGAAAGCCCGAGGCUCAACCUCGGAACUGCCUUCGAUACUGCGGGUCUCGAGUCCGGGAGAGGUGAGUGGAGUUCCUAGUGUAGAGGUGAAAUUCGUAGAUAUUAGGAAGAACACCAGUGGCGAAGGCGGCUCACUGGCCCGGUACUGACGCUGAGGCGCGAAAGCGUGGGGAGCAAACAGG
rnacentral:rRNA from 1 species